GGUUCCAUGGUGUAGUGGUCAUCACGUCUGCUUUACACGCAGAAGGUCCUGGGUUCAAUCCCCAGUGGAACCU